GUAGGUGGCAAGCGUUAUCCGGAUCUACUGGGUGUAAAGGGAGCGCAGGCGGUGCGGCAAGUCUGAUGUGAAAGCCCGGGGCUCAACCCCGGUACUGCAUUGGAAACUGUCGUACUAGAGUGUCGGAGGGGUAAGCGGAAUUCCUAGUGUAGCGGUGAAAUGCGUAGAUAUUAGGAGGAACACCAGUGGCGAAGGCGGCUUACUGGACGAUAACUGACGCUGAGGCUCGAAAGCGUGGGGAGCAAACAGGAUUAGAUACCCUGGUAGUCCACGCCGUAAACGAUGAGUGCUAGGUGUCGGGGAGGAAUCCUCGGUGCCGCAGCUAACGCAAUAAGCACUCCACCUGGGGAGU
rnacentral:rRNA from 1 species